rfam:Ictidomys tridecemlineatus contig057397, whole genome shotgun sequence.
GGGGCUGUAGCUCAGGGGUAGAGCGCUUGCCUAGCACGUGGGAGGCAUUGGGUUCGAUCCUCAGCACCA